rnacentral:tRNA from 1 species
GACAAAACCCUAGCCUUCCAAGCUAACGACG